GAUGAAGAACGCAGCGAAAUGCGAUAAGUAAUGUGAAUUGCAGAAUUCAGUGAAUCAUCGAAUCUUUGAACGCACAUUGCGCCCGCCAGUAUUCUGGCGGGCAUGCCUGUUCGAGCGUCAUUUCAACCAUCAAGCCCUGCUUGCGUUGGGGUCCUGCGGCUGCCCGCAGGCCCUGAAAACCAGUGGCGGGCUCGCUAGUCACACCGAGCGCAGUAAUACAUCUCGCUUUGGGCGUGCGGCGGGUUCUUGCCGUUAAACACCCCCUUUUUACCAAGGUUGACCUCGGAUCAGGUAGGAAUGCCCGCUGAACUUAAGCAUAUCAAAAGCGGAGGA
rnacentral:misc_RNA from 1 species